rnacentral:misc_RNA from 1 species
GAAAUGUGAUAAGUAAUGUGAAUUGCAGAAUUCAGUGAAUCAUCGAAUCUUUGAACGCACCUUGCGCCCCUUGGUAUUCCUUGGAGCAUGCCUGUUUGAGUAUCAUGAAAUCUUCAAAGUAAAUCUUUUGUUAACUCAAUUGGUUUCUACUUUGGUAUUGGAGGUCUUUGCAGCUUCACACCUGCUCCUCUUUGUUCAUUAGCUGGAUCUCAGUGUUAUGCUUGGUUCCACUCGGCGUGAUAAGUUAUCUAUCGCUGAGGACACUGUAAAAGGUGGCCAAGGUAAAUGCAGAUGAACCGCUUCUAAUAGUCCAUUGACUUGGACAAUACUUUUAUGAUCUGAUCUCAAAUCAGGUAGGACUACCCGCUGAACUUAAGC